UACGUAGGGGGCAAGCGUUGUCCGGAAUUACUGGGCGUAAAGCCACGCAGGCUGAAUUAUAAGUCGGUAGUAAAAGGCGGGGGCUCAACUUCCGUAUAUCUAUCGAUACUGUAAAUCUAGAGUAUGUGAGAGGGAAGCGGAAUUCCCGGUGUAGCUGUGAAAUGCGUAGAUAUCGGGAGGAACACCAGUGGCGAAGGCGGCUUCCUGGCACAAUACUGACGCUCAUGUGCGAAAGCUAGGGCAGCGAACGGGAUUAGAUACCCGGGUAGU
rnacentral:rRNA from 1 species